rnacentral:rRNA from 1 species
AUUGAACGCUGGCGGCAGGCCUAACACAUGCAAGUCGAACGAGUGGCGGACGGGUGAGUAAUGUCUGGGAAACUGCCUGAUGGAGGGGGAUAACUACUGGAAACGGUAGCUAAUACCGCAUACCAUCAGAUGUGCCCAGAUGGGAUUAGCUUGUUGGUGGGGUAACGGCUCACCAAGGCGACGAUCCCUAGCUGGUCUGAGAGGAUGACCAGCCACACUGGAACGUGGAAACGGGCCAGCUUCCUACGGGAGGCAGUAGUGGGGAAUAUUGCACAAUGGGCGCAAGCCGGAUGCAGCCAUGCCGCGUGUAUGAAGAAGGCCUUCGGGUUGUAAAGUACUUUCAGUCGGGAGGCGUUACCCGCAGAAGAAGCACCGGCUAACUCCGUGCCAGCAGCCGCGGUAAUAC